AGAAAUAACUAAGGGCGUAUGGUGGAUGCCUAGGCUCUCACAGGCGAUGAAGGACGCGAUAAGCUGCGAUAAUCUGUGUUUAGGUGCAAAUAACCUUUGAGACACAGGUUUCCGAAUGGGGCAACCCGGUACACUGAAGGUGUACCAUACCGUAAGGUAAGCAAACGCAGGGAACUGAAACAUCUUAUUACCUGCAGGAGAAGAAAACAAAUGAGUGAUUCCCCUGGUAGCGGCGAGCGACCGGGGAACAGCCCAAACCCACUCUGUUUCGGCAUAUUGGGGGUUGUAGGACUGCGACAUAGGAGAAGUAAAUGAAAUGGAAUGCUUUGGAAAAAGCCAUCACAGAGGGUGAUAAUCCCGUACAUGCAAAUUUACGAUUCUUAGCAGCAUCCUGAGUAAGGCGGGACACGUGAAAUCCUGUCUGAAUCCGCCGGGUCCAUCCGGCAAGGCUAAAUACUCGUGAGAGACCGAUAGUGAACCAGUACUGUGAAGGAAAGGUGAAAAGCACCCCAAAUAGGGGAGUGAAAUAGUUCCUGAAACCGUACGCCUACAAGCAGUCGGAGCCCUUCUUGGGGUGACGGCAUGCCUUUUGCAUAAUGAGCCUACGAGUUACUCAUCACUGGCGAGGUUAAGUACUUCAAGGUACGUCAGCCGAAGCGAAAGCGAAUCUGAACAGGGUGUUUAGUCAGUGGUGGUAGACGCGAAACCUUAGUGAUCUACCCAUGUGCAGGUUGAAGGUUUGGUAACACAAACUGGAGGACCGAACCGAUAAGCGUUGAAAAGCUUCCGGAUGACAUGUGGGUAGGGGUGAAAGGCCAAUCAAACUGGGAAAUAGCUCGUACUCUCCGAAAUGCUUUAGGUGCAGCCUCUGUUUUAGUGUAUAAGAGGUAGAGCUACUGAUUGGAUGCGAGGGCUUCACCGCCUAUCAAAUCCGGCCAAACUCCGAAUGCUUAUACAUGUUUACAGGGAGUGAGCCCACGGGUGCUAAGGUCCGUGGACGAAAGAGGAAGAACUCAGCCCAUCAGCUAAGGUCCCCAAUUGUAUCCUGAGUUGACAACGGAACGCGGUGUAACUGCCUUGACAGCUGGUAUGUUGGCUUGGAAGCAGCCAUUCAUUUAACGAGUGCGUAACAGCUCACCAGUCGAGUGGUUCUGCAUGGAUAAUACUCGGGCAUAAGGAUACAACCGAAGCUAUGGACUCAUGAUUAAUUUCAUGAGUGGUAGGAGAGCAUUCCAUUGCAGCGUCGAAGCCAUAUCGUGAGAUAUAGUGGAGCGGAUGGAAAAGCAAAUGUAGGCAUAAGUAACGAUAAUGCGGGUGAGAACCCCGCACGCCGAAAGGUCAAGGAUUCCCCGGCAAUGUCAUUCAUCCGGGGGUUAGUCGGGUUCUAAGGUGUAGCCGAUGGGCGAAGCCGAUGACCAACAGGUUAAUAUUCCUGUACUCAAUUAUACUGCGAUGCAGCGACGAAGCGGUGAUAAUGCUGCGCACUGACGGAAUAGUGCGUUGAAGCCCGUACCCCUUGAGGUUGGUAGUCAAGUACGCCAUCCGAGGCGAAAGGCGAUAGUACCCCAAAGCUCCGGCUGCGGGGAUAAUGCAUGUAAUCUUACUUCCAAGAAAACCUGCUCAGCUUCAGGUAUAAUUGACCCGUACUGUAAACGGACACACGUGACCGCGUAGAGUAUACUAAGGCGCACGAGCUAUUCAUGGCCAAGGAACUAGGCAAAAUAGACCUGUAACUUCGGGAUAAAGGUCGCUCACGUGAGUGAGCUGCAAUAAAUAGGCCCAGGCGACUGUUUAUCAAAAACACAUGGCUAUGCUAAAUCGCAAGAUGACGUAUAUGGCCUGACACCUGCCCGGUGCCGGAAGGUUAAGAGGAGAGCUUAGGAUUAAUCCGACGGUUUGAAUUGAAGCCCCGGUAAACGGCGGCCGUAACUAUAACGGUCCUAAGGUAGCGAAAUUCCUUGUCGGGUAAGUUCCGACCUGCACGAAUUCUGGGCACUGUCUCAGCCAUGAACUCGGUGAAAUUGUAUUUCCGGUGAAGAUGCCGGAUACCCGCAACGGGACGGAAAGACCCCGUGAACCUUUACUGCAGCUUUGCAUUGAUUUUGGGUACCGGAUGUGUAGGAUAGGUCGGAGGCAAUGAAAUGGCGUCGUCAGGCGUUGUGGAGCCGCUGUUGAAAUACGACCCUUCUGUUAUCUGAGGUCUAAUCCCCCGUAUGGGGGAGACAUUGCAUGGUGGGUAGUUUGACUGGGGUGGUCGCCUCCAAAAGCGUAACGGAGGCUUCUCAAGGUACCCUCAUGGCGUUUGGUAACCGCCAGUAGAGUGCAAUGGCAUAAGGGUGCUUGACUGUGAGACCAACAAGUCGAUCAGGUUGGAAACAAGAGCAUAGUGAUCCGGCGGAUCCGUAUGGAAGGUCCGUCGCUCAAAGGAUAAAAGGUACUCCGGGGAUAACAGGCUGAUCGCUCCCAAGAGCUCAUAUCGACGGAGCGGUUUGGCACCUCGAU
rnacentral:rRNA from 1 species